UACAGAGGGGGCGAGCGUUAUUCGGAAUUAUUGGGCGUAAAGGGCGCGUAGGCGGCUUUGCAAGUGACGGGUGAAAUCCCUCGGCUUAACCGAGGAACUGCCUGUCAAACUGCAUGGCUUGAGACCGGGAGAGGUGAGUGGAAUUCCCAGUGUAGCGGUGAAAUGCGUAGAUAUUGGGAAGAACACCAGUGGCGAAGGCGGCUCACUGGACCGGUAUUGACGCUGAGGUGCGAAAGCGUGGGGAGCAAACAGG
rnacentral:rRNA from 1 species